GAGAGGUCAGCCUGCCCAGUGACCCAUGUUCAACGGCCGCGGUAUCCUAACCGUGCGAAGGUAGCGUAAUCACUUGUCUUUUAAAUAAAGACUAGUAUGAAAGGCACCACGAGGGUCUGACUGUCUCCUGUUUUCUAUCAGUGAAACUAAUCUCCCCGUGAAGAAGCGGGGAUUAUCAUAUAAGACGAGAAGACCCUAUGGAGCUUCAAACAACAUAAUCACCACCCUUAACAUUGCCAAAAAAAGCUUAACCCUAACUCAUGCCUGAUUAUAAGUUUUGGGUUGGGGAGACCACGGAGAAAACACACCCUCCACGCUGGACACGAACUUUCACCCUAAAUAAUAAGAUACAUCUUUUUAGAUCAACAAAUUGACACUCAUUGACCCAACACACUUGAUCAACGAACCAAGUUACCCUAGGGAUAACAGCGCAAUCCGCUUUAAGAGCUCAUAUCGACAAGCGGGUUUACGACCUCGAUGUUGGAUCAGGGUCUCCUAGUGGCGCAGCCGCUACUAAAGGUUCGUUUGUUCAACGAUUAAUACCCUACGUGAUCUGGUUU
rnacentral:rRNA from 1 species